UACGGGGGGGGCAAGCGUUGUUCGGAAUUACUGGGCGUAAAGGGCUCGUAGGCGGCCAACUAAGUCAGACGUGAAAUCCCUCGGCUUAACCGGGGAACUGCAUCUGAUACUGGAUGGCUUGAGAUUGGGAGAGGGAUGCGGAAUUCCAGGUGUAGCGGUGGAAUGCGCAGAUAUCAGGAGGAACACCAAUAGCGAAGGCAGCUCGCUGGGACGUUACUGACACUGAGGCGCGAAAGCGUGGGGAGCGAACAGG
rnacentral:rRNA from 1 species